rnacentral:misc_RNA from 1 species
UUCGCUUAUGUUUUCGAUUGUUGUUUAUUAUUGGACACCAUAAACUAUUUCAGUUUGUUUUGAAGCCUAGUCAAACUUUAAACAACUAAAAAUGUACGCAAAAUACAGCAAGAUGGUCGAUCGCCAGCGACAGCAAGAAGAAAAAGGCGGACCAACAAUAGAGGAAGUUUCAGAAGAAAACAAAGUUUCAGAGGGAAAAAAAGAAACGGAAAACACAGCCACCGAUCAGGUGGACACAUCUGCACCAUCAGAUUCGGCAGCUGCCACAGAGAAGGCACAAGAGGAGGAGAAAGGCACUGACGCAAAAGAUGAAACCGGAAGAGAAGAACCAGUGGCGGACGCUGAGAAAAAAUUAAACCUUGAUGAACUGUGGCAGCGGUUGUGCAAUCCACCGACAGAAUGCCAUUCUCUCUUGAAAAAUAAUUUAACUCAGGAGAUAUUCGAUGAACUCAAAGAUAAAGAAACGCGAUUCAAAGGGAGAUUGGAGGACUGCAUUCGGUCGGGAUGCGAGAACACAGACAGCGGUGUGGGCGUCUACGCCUCAGACCCCGAAGCCUACACGACCUUCGCUCCUCUGUUGGACGCCGUCAUCAAGGACUACCACAAGGUCGACGCUCUGAACCACCCCAACCCUGACUUCGGAGACACCGACAAGCUCCAGUUCGGAGACCUUGACCCCUCCGGCGACAUGAUCGUGUCCACCCGUGUGCGAGUGGGCCGCAGCCACGACAGCUACGGCUUCCCUCCCGUGAUCAGCAAGGAGGAUCGUGUUGACAUGGAGAAGAAGACUGUCGCAGCCCUCGCCAAACUUGACGGUGAGCUUAAGGGCAGCUACCACCCUCUGACUGGCAUGAGCAAGGAAACCCAGACACAGCUCACUGAAGACCAUUUCCUCUUCAACAACAGUGACAGAUUCUUGGAAGCUGCCGGCGGCUACAAAGACUGGCCCACUGGACGUGGAAUCUACUUCAACGACAACAAAACUUUCCUGGUCUGGGUGAACGAGGAGGACCAUCUGCGUUUCAUCUCUAUGCAAAAGGGAGGCAACCUGAAGGAAGUCUACGUCAGACUGGUCAAGGCUAUCCGUGCUCUGGAGACCAGUGGUCUGUCGUUCGCCAAGCGCGAUGGUCUCGGCUACCUCACCUUCUGCCCAUCCAACCUGGGCACCACCCUGCGUGCCUCAGUGCACAUCAAGAUCCCCAAGCUGGCUGCCACCCCAGACUUCAAGGCUUUCUGCGACAAGCUGAACAUCCAAGCCAGAGGCAUCCACGGAGAGCACACCGAGUCUGUCGGCGGCGUCUACGACAUCUCCAACAAGAGGAGGCUGGGACUCACUGAGAUCCAGGCCAUCGAAGAGAUGCGCAAGGGCGUGGAGGCUGUCAUCGCCGAGGAGAAGAAGCUUGCCGGAAAGUAGAGCUCCUCACGCCCUUCCUCCUCCUGUUUUGGGUCUCUAUUUCCUUACCAACGACCUUUCCAUCCCUUUACCCCCCCCCAACCCUCAAUCGUACCGUCAGAGCUUAGUGCACGCCACAACACGACUUGUACAUAGUAAUUGGUUUAGCCGCUGAGACAACACGCCAGUGGUCUAUAUAGCUCCUUGACUGCUUCGGGCCCCUUAAUCAGUGGCCUUUUCGUCACUCGACAGAAUUUUGACAAAUUUAUUCUGUCCUGUGAUUAGAAAAAGACCAGGUUUUGAAGCAGCCAAAACAUAAGUUAUUAUAAAUCUGUUUCAUUUUCUCGAAUUCUUACAAGAUGUGUGACUGAAAAACAAAAAAGAAAAAAAAAUAUGACAAAAAAUCCACAGUGCACGGCAGCUCGGUUUGGGCAGUGUUUUUGCUGUGAUUGGUUCAGUAGCACUCUCUAGACUUUCUUGGUGCUAGAGUAGAGGUGCGGUCAGAGUUCACACCAUUUGCUAGUGGUCGUGGAUUCCCCGACCCCUACCCUACCCAGUCCCUCUCACCUUUUAGAGUGAGAAAGGUCACGGGAGUUAAGUUACUCGCUAACAGCAUCGUCAGUGCGCGACCAGGCCUGGGCUGUUUGCGACGUGCGUUGAAACUAUUAUUAUUUUUGUAAAUCUCAAUAUAGAAUAACAAAUUUUUAUUCAAAAUCUGUUGUUCUUGUCUUGACAUUCAUCAAGAAAACACAAUAUGAGACAUAUCUGAUGUGAUAAAAAGAAUGUGUGAUAUGUUUACUUUUAGACUAGUUCAGUAUUUCAUGUAGAACUGCAUUCAUGGUGGUAACAACAACAUUGACUUUUGAAAUGUCUUAGAUUUCACUGUGAAUGACAAAGAAUGAUUUUGGGACACAUGAAGCCACGAGUAUAGUGGAACAAGUGAAACGAGCAUUCUUGAAAAAGGCAUCUUGAUACUUAAGCGGUGACACUUACGAUUCCCAAAGCCAAAAAUUGGUAAUCGGAAGGUAACGACAAGUUGUGUAUGUUAACAACAGAUUAUUUUUUUUAAAAACCCUUCUUUUUGUCACAGUUCCUGUGAUACGAGAGAAUGAGAAAGAAAGAAACAACACCAAAGUGAAAUGUGUACCCUCUGUGCCACCCGAAAUGAUUAAUGAAAACGAUCAAUAAAAACAUGUUUGAAAUAA